rnacentral:misc_RNA from 1 species
GAUGAAGAACGCAGUGAAAUGCGAUAAGUAAUGUGAAUUGCAGAAUUCAGUGAAUCAUCGAAUCUUUGAACGCACAUUGCGCCCGCCAGUAUUCUGGCGGGCAUGCCUGUUCGAGCGUCAUUUCAACCAUCAAGCCCCCGGCUUGUGUUGGGGACCUGCGGCUGCCGCAGGCCCUGAAAACCAGUGGCGGGCUCGCUAGUCACUCCGAGCGUAGUAAUACAUCUCGCUCAGGGCGUGCUGCGGGUUCCGGCCGUUAAAAAGCCUUAUUUACCCAAGGUUGACCUCGGAUCAGGUAGGAAGACCCGCUGAACUUAAGCAUAUAAUAAGCGGAGA